CAAAGAACUUUGAAGAGAGAGUUCAAUAGGACGUGAAACCGUUCAGAGAAUAAGAGCUUGAUGAGAGCUGUAAGAGCGCAUUCAGGAGUUUUUUGCUUCGUAUUUGUGUUCUGUUGCUGCCAUGCUGACGGCUGCGGGCAUUAUCGUUUAUGGUGGGCUGCUUUUAUGCAGUGUCCUGUUCUCGGUGUGUUUGUAGUUGCAGUGUGUAAAGGCUUUGAUCGGACGAAACGCGCGUUUUGGGAUUUGUAAUUCUACCUCGGUAGCGUUGCCCUUCUCGAUUCUGUUCGUGAAGUCUGAUUGCUGUCUGUAGCAAUAGCUCUGCGUUGAGCAUCCCGUCUUGAAACACGGACCAAGGAGUCUAAAUUGUGCGCAAGCUAUCGGAUAUAAAUCCGUAAGCGAAAUCAAUGUAAUUUGUUGGAUCAUUGAGAACAUCAAACGUGUGCUCUGUUCGCAUUGUGCUCAGUAUGAGUGCACAGAUUAGUACCCGAAAGAUGGUGAACUAUGCUUGAGCAGGACGAAGCUAGAGGAAACUCUGGUGGAAGUCCGAAGCGGUUCUGACGUGCAAAUCGAUCGUCGGACU
rnacentral:rRNA from 1 species